GGAGGCGCAGCGAGAGCGAGUCUGAAUAGGGCGAAUGAGUUACUUGCAUUAGACCCGAAACCGGGUGACCUAUCCAUGAGCAGGCUGAAGCGGUGGUAAGACACCGUGGAGGGCCGCACCCACGUCCGUUGAAAAGGCCGGGGAUGACUUGUGGAUAGCGGAGAAAUUCCAAUCGAACUCGGAUAUAGCUGGUUCUCCCCGAAAUAGCUUUAGGGCUAGCGUUAUGAUAGAUUACCGGAGGUAAAGCACUGAAUGGGCUAGGGGCCGCGAGGUUACUGAACCCUAUCAAACUAAGAAUGCCGGAUAAUUGUUUCAUAGCAGUCAGACUACGUGAGAUAAGUCUCGUGGUCAAAAGGGAAACAGCCCAGAUCCGCAGCUAAGGUCCCAAAUAGAUGCUAAGUGGAAAAUGAUGUGAAACUGCGAAAACAACCAGGAUGUUGGCUUAGAAGCAGCCACUCAUUCAAAGAGUGCGUAAUAGCUCACUGGUCGAGUGGUUUUGCGCAGAAAAUGUAACGGGGCUAAGCAUCUAACCGAAGCUCGGGCAGUAUCUAAUACUGGGUAGGGGAGCGUUGUGUACGGAACGAAGUCAGAGCGAAAGCACUGGUGGACUUUACACAAGUGAGAAUGCCGGAAUAAGUAGCGAGAAUUAUGUGAGAAUCAUAAUGGCCGAAAAUCUAAGGUUUCUUGGGGAAGGUUCGUCCGCCCAAGGUUAGUCGGGAGCUAAGGCGAGGCCUAACGGCGUAGUCGAUGCACAUACGGUAGAAAUUCCGUAACCACCGAACUUUAAGCAUAAGGGACGCUUUCAUUAAGGUUAUCCCGGGCGAUGGUUGCCCCGGGCGUAAGGGACCGAAAUAUAGUAGGGAAGUAACUGGCGUGAGAGACGAGAAAAGCUUAUGUGUAUACUAAGGUGCCCGUACCGCAAACCGACACAGGUAGAUGGGAUGAGUAUUCUAAGGCCAACGGGAGAAGGGUUGUUAAGGAACUCGGCAAAUUGGCCCCGUAACUUCGGGAUAAGGGGCGCCUGCGAGAGCAGGCCGCAGUGAAAAGGCCCAAGCGACUGUUUAGCAAAAACACAGCUCUCUGCUAAAUCGAAAGAUGAUGUAUAGGGGGUGACGCCUGCCCGGUGCUGGAAGGUUAAGGGGAGUGCUUAGCGCAAGCGAAGGUGCGAACUUAAGCCCCAGUAAACGGCGGCCGUAACUAUAACGGUCCUAAGGUAGCGAAAUUCCUUGUCAGGUAAGUUCUGACCCGCACGAAUGGCGUAACGAUUUGGGCACUGUCUCAACAGCCCGCCCGGCGAAAUUGUAGUACCGGUGAAGAUGCCGGUUACCCGCAACUAGACGGAAAGACCCCAUGGAGCUUCACUGUAGCUUGAUAUUGGAUUUCGGUAUUCCAUGUACAGGAUAGGUGGGAGACUAGGAAACACGGGCGCCAGCUUGUGCGGAGUCAACCUUGGGAUACCACUCUUGGGAUACUGGAAUUCUAACCUGCGGCCCUGAAUCGGGUCGGGGGACACUGUCAGGUGGGCAGUUUGACUGGGGCGGUCGCCUCCUAAAAGGUAACGGAGGCGCUCAAAGGUUCGUUCAGCACGGACGGAAAUCGUGCGGUGAGUGUAAACGCAUAAACGAGCCUAACUGCGAGAAUGACGGUUCGAGCAGUAACGAAAGUUGGAGUUAGUGAUCCGGCGGUAUGUGAAUGGAAAUGCCGUCGCUCAACGGAUAAAAGCUACCCUGGGGAUAACAGGCUGAUCUCCCCCAAGAGUCCACAUCGACGGGGAGGUUUGGCACCUCGAUGUCGGCUCAUCACAUCCUGGGGCUGAAUUCGGUCCCAAGGGUUCGGCUGUUCGCCGAUUAAAGUGGUACGCGAGCUGGGUUCAGAACGUCGUGAGACAGUUCGGUCCCUAUCUGUUGCGGGCGUAGGAAUAUUGAGAGGAGCUGCCCUUAGUACGAGAGGACCGGGGUGGACGUACCGCUGGUGCACCAGUUGUUCCGCCAGGAGCAUAGCUGGGUAGCUAAGUACGGACGAGAUAAACGCUGAAGGCAUCUAAGCGUGAAACUUCCCUCGAGAUAAGUAUUCCCACUCUUCGGAGGUAAGGCCCCACGUAGACUAUGUGGUUGAUAGGUCAGGAGUGGAAGUGUGGUAACACAUGCAGCGGACUGAUACUAAUAGGCCGAGGGCUUGACCUAA
rnacentral:rRNA from 1 species